AUUGAACGCUGGCGGCAGGCCUAACACAUGCAAGUCGAACGAGUGGCGGACGGGUGAGUAAUGUCUGGGAAACUGCCUGAUGGAGGGGGAUAACUACUGGAAACGGUAGCUAAUACCGCAUACCAUCGGAUGUGCCCAGAUGGGAUUAGCUAGUAGGUGGGGUAAAGGCUCACCUAGGCGACGAUCCCUAGCUGGUCUGAGAGGAUGGCCAGCCACACUGGAACUGAGACACGGUCCAGACUCCUACGGGAGGCAGCAGUGGGGAAUCUUGCACAAUGGGCGAAAGCCUGAUCGAGCCAUGCCGCGUGGAUGAAGAAGGCCUUCGGGUUGUAAAGUACUUUCAGUGGAGAAGCGGUACCCGAAGAAGAAGCACCGGCUAACUACGUGCCAGCCGCCGCGGUAAUUC
rnacentral:rRNA from 1 species